rnacentral:misc_RNA from 1 species
GCAAACUUGGUCAUUUAGAGGAAGUAAAAGUCGUAACAAGGUCUCCGUUGGUGAACCAGCGGAGGGAUCAUUACUGAGUUCUACAAAACUCCCAACCCUUUGUGAACCUUACAACUGUUGCCUCGGCUGUGAGCAGUAGCUGCCGGAGCACCUACCCUGGAGGCACCUACCCUGUAGGUGCCUACCCGGGAGGAGCUACCCGGUAGUUGCAACCACGCUCCGCCGGUGGACCAUUAAACUCUUGUCUGUACAGUGUAUCUCUGAAUUCUUAACUAAAUUAGUUAAAACUUUCAACAACGGAUCUCUUGGUUCUGGCAUCGAUGAAGAACGCAGC